rnacentral:rRNA from 1 species
GGGGGGGGGGGGGGGGGGGGGGGGGGGGGGCGGGGCGGGGGGGGCGGGCGGGGCGGGGGGCGCGGGGGGGCGUGACGCGGGGGAACCUGCCCUUAGGUUCGGAAUAACUCCCCGAACGGGGUGCUACUACCGGCUAAUGUCUUCGGACCAAAGAUUUAUCGCCUUUGGAUGGGCCCGCGUUGGAUUAGCUAGUUGGUAGGGUAAAAGCCUACCAAGGCGACGAUCCAUAGCUGGUCUGAGAGGAUGAUCAGCCACACUGGGACUGAGACACGGCCCAGACUCCUACGGGAGGCAGCAGUGGGGAAUAUUGGACAAUGGGCGAAAGCCUGAUCCAGCAAUGCCGCGUGAGUGAUGAAGGCCUUAGGGUUGUAAAGCUCUUUUACCCGGGAUGAUAAUGACAGUACCGGGAGAAUAAGCUCCGGCUAACUCCGUG